rnacentral:tmRNA from 1 species
GGGGGUGACCGGUCUCGACGGGAACACCUAGGCGAGGCGGCAAGCGGAGCUCCCGGAAGCUCCAUAAACCUCCGGGAACGGCAAAAUAAAUGCCGACUUUGCACCUGCUUACGCCUGCGCUGCGUCGUUGAACUAGCGUAGGCCGUUCCCAGGGCUCAGGCCCGCGGGGUUCUGGGGGCGUGGACCAAGCGGGCUAGCCCGGGUGGCGUGCCUUCCGCCUGCCGGGUGACAUCCAAGGAGGCUUGGGGCCGAGCGAUCCUGCCCGUGGGAGCGCGAGGUCCGACAUCAAAAACACGGGAUAAGCUUGUAGAGGCCGAGCCGACGGUGUUUUCGGACGCGGGUUCGAAUCCCGCCACCUCCACCA